rnacentral:lncRNA from 1 species
AUGGAAGCAUCUAGGCCCCAGCAGACACCACGCCUGGGUGCCCCCCAGGCUGUCCUCGGCACACGCCUAUCUCUGGGACCUUGGAGUGGCGUUACUGAAUUGUGGCUCAGGUCUUUCUGUCGGGUCACGUGGGGUGAGUGGUGUGACCCCUCAGGGUGUUGUGAAGGAGGCCCAGCCUGGCUGCUGGCCUUGACCCAACCAGCGGUGGAGCGGCCGCCUGCUCCUCUGCCUGCUCCUCUGCCUGCUCCUCUGCCUGCUCCUCUCCUGCUCCUCUCCUGCUACCUAUUGGCCGCACCACUGCCCAGGCUGCUCCCACGCCUCCAGGUGAACACAAACGACCUCGUCCCACAAACGCUGCCGGACGCUGUCCCUAGACUUCUGGGUCCCCACAGAUCUUGCGACAAGAACCGGCUUAAAUAUCCUGCUUGCCCUCCCAAACCUCUGCAGGAAGUCCUGCCUGCCUCCGUGGAAAGCUGGCUCAGCUCUGCCCCUGCAGCCUGGCCCUGGCCGUGGCUUUGGCUGGGCUCCUCUCUUUCGGGAGCUGCCUGGCAGACUGUAUCCUCCAGGAUCACCCUGGUUACCUUGACAACUGGGUCUGGCCUUCCUCCUCCCUCCCCAGCCACUGCUGAACUUGGCCUCCAUGCACUUGCCCAGGCAGUGUGCCUGUCCUUCCACUUGCCUGCCCUCCCCAGCAUUGCCAAGUUUAGUUCACCUAGUUCAUGUGCUGCCAUCUCCCAGCCUUCCUGGAGCCCCGUAUGGGCUCUACUUCCCAACUCCCUUGGACUGAGAGACUGUGAGCUCCUCGAGGGCAGGAACACAAUUGCUUCUCAAUAAAUAUGUGUUGCAGAAAAGGAAUGGAUGAGCUGCUGUGAUUUUGUCAGGGUUUGGUUGACUCACCAGAUGUCCCUCUGGUCGGGUGACCCAGAGCACAGGCGCGGCUCCCACC